CAUGUUUCUUUGCAACUAUCUCAUAAUGGCAACUAAGUGCCUGCGGGUUUGUCAAUACCAUCUAACGUCAAAAUCCGCAAUCACUUAGUUGCCAACCCAAUAUGUUACAGAUGAACUGCGCCACAAUUUUUACUGCGAAUAUUUCACGUUCCAGUGAACCGCAGCAACAACUAUACUACAUAUACACGUAUUUAUGUGUUAGUAGACAUAUUUUUCAUAUACGAAUAAACAAAAAUAUUCGCAAGAGAAUCGCUAGCGAAAUUGGCGUGUGUUUACGAAACGUGAAAUUUUCGCUGUAAAUACCGGGUUGGCAACUAAGCGAUCGCUGAUUUUAACAUUUGAUGGUAUUGACAAAAUUUGCAAUCACUUAGUUGCCAACCUAAUAGUUUCAAUCCUCCUUUGCUUCCAUUGCUUUUCCUCUAGUCAUCUCUGUUUGUCCCUAUCAUUCGUUCUCUUUUGGCAACGUUUUAUAGCAGUUUUUUUCCUCUUCUUUGUUCUUUUUCUUCGCAUUGGAGAAGCAGAUAGUGGCUUGUUGGAAAUAGGCGUUCGAUGAUCUUGGUGUUCUGAUGGCCGGACGAUGAGUCAUGGGGGGCUUUGACGAAGGUGAUUAGAAAUACGAUAGUUUGAGGAGAUGGGAGUGAUGGUAAGGUAGGAAUGAGUGCGAUGGUCUUUACGAUUGUAACUUCUUUUGUUAUCUUUUUAACAAGAGACUGGUAACAAUUGUUAAGAAUUAUGUGGGUCUCGUUGAUAGAAUUAAUGAUCGUUGUGUAAUUCUGGUACUAAACUGUUACCUACCGAUCUUUACAAGAUUUUCACAAGAGGAGCUGGCAAGCUUUAACUCUUUGCACUGCAAAUUUUAUUUCAAUUUCGUUACCAGCAGCUGCCAACGCUUUUAAGAUGCCAUCCUGCUUUUCUUUUGCACGUUUCACAAUGAAAGGUGAGACUCGACAAAGGAGCUCCUGAGAUAAAAACUGAUGUCGAAUCACACUCCACAUAGCAGUGCAAACAAUAAUUAUUAAUGCACAUCUCUGUAUAUUGAUGACUGUUUAAAAUUAUAUUUGAUAACGAGUAGUUGUUAAGAUUAUAAUUUUUCUCAUUAUCUUUUUAAAAUACUAUCUGGAAAUAUUUAUUUUAAUCUGUUCUAUUUAAUCUGUUUCUAUUAAAUUAAUUAAAUUAAUUGUCCUAUUUAAUCUAUUUAAUUAACAAAUGUUAAAUAUUUAUUUUAUUAUUUUAGUCUUAAAAUAAUCCACAAACAUUUGAAGAUAAAUAUCUUACAGCUUUUAAGACAAUUAUAAACAUGUUGGUGUAUAUUUUUGAAAAGACUCGUAAGGUAUUCAACAACUUGUAUUUCUACCGAGAUCUUAUUCGCUGAGAAAAGAAAUUAUUUAACGAAAUGGUAGCGCAUUACCUGCGUUAUGUAAACCGAGACCCUGACCUAGGUUCUACCGUAUCCUCUCAUGAGAUUUAAAGCGGAGAAUACGAGCCAGUGGUCACAAUGAAUUUACCUUCUCUCCGAACGAGUAUUUAGAAGGUGGGUCACAGAAGAGAACAACGAGAAAUAGAGCUACUGAGACACGAUGCUUGUUGGAAAUGCGAAAUAGACUUUCCACGGUCGUAGAAUAAAUCAACAUUUAACUUAAAUUGUUUAGAAAGAUGUUUUUACUCUUCGAUGUUCUCCACUUUGAAAUUUCAAUACUAAAUACGUGUAAAUGUACUUCGUUAUUCGUCUUCAUAAUUUACGAUAUCUCCCAUAUUACAGUUUGCCAGUUGUACGUAUGCUGCACAGUUGAACGGUUUACCUUUUCUUUUUCCUUACUUUCUAUUUGAUUAUCUAUGUUCUAAAACUACUCAGCUUAGCUCUAUAUAAAAAAGUAUGUAUUUGUGUUGCAAUUCGUUUGAGAUGAAUUCAACGUGUAGGUGUAUUUAAUUAAGAACGUAACGAGUGGACGAAUUCGUGAUAGCCAGUUGUAUUAAAAUAAUUAUAAGUACGAGAGAUAGUGUACGCCAGUUAUAAUCGUCGCUUGCUCAAUGCUACUAUACCGAUCGAAUAAAGGAUAACAAUAAUCUCCUAGGGGGCACGUUCAUCUAUUUAUAUCGACAGACGGUAGCACAAAAAGUUAAUAUUCUUAUGUAACUCUGGCUGAAGAUUAGAAGAAACGGCAGUAACAAUUUGUUGGGAGUACGUUUACCUCUGGAACUUGCAAACCAAAACAGUCGUUAAUAUUCUGUUGAAGUAAUUA